AUGGAGGAUACAUACGUUUGGGUGUUGCAUACCUUCUUAAGAGCUCAUUGUCAAAAGAAGCCGAGGUCUGUAAUUACUGACGGAGACGCAGCCAUGAUAAGGGCCAUCAGGAAGGUCCUUACUGACGUGUGGCAUCGACUAUGUUCGUGGCAUAUUGAGAAAAACAUGCAGAAACACCUCCACCACAAGUCCCUUAAGGAGUUCAUGGCUCUUAUUUAUUAUGCCACUACACAUGAUGAGUUUGAGGCGAGAUGGGCAGCUUUUAGAGCUAAAUGGGAGUCGGAGAAAACUGAAACAUGA
rnacentral:rRNA from 1 species